AAUCAUCUAAGAAAAAUGUAAUGGAUGAGGAUCACCUUACCCUUAUUGAGAAGGUUGAAAAGAAGAGGUGUGAAAUACUCAGUAAAUGGGAUGAAAUUCAUGCUCUUGAAAGAGAAAUUAAAACGACUCUGAUUCAUACUGGAAUUUCACAUAUCACUGAAAAUAGGAUUAAAAGCAUAGAGACUGAAGCUAUAAAAUUAGAAACAGCAAAUCGAAUUUUAAAGAAGAAAAUACAUAUUAUUGAAAACAAUGUGAAGCAGAACCUAGAGAAGCAUGAGACAAGUGAGCGGGAGCAGCAGAACCUUUGGGAUUUCAUUACAGAAUUUGUAAACUUAAAGGAAACAGACGACAACCCUCAAGGGACUGGAAAAAUGACCCAUGAAAAUUCACAGCCAUCAUGUACAUAACAUGAAUGUCUGCAGAUGUAUAAAGUAAUGAAAAUACAUCUCAUUUUGUCAGUUUUUUUCAGUUUUAAUUUCUAAUAAAGUUAAUGCACUAUAUGCAUCAAGAUACUGGAAUAAAUACAUGUGUGCAUGUGAUUAGCUUUA